rnacentral:rRNA from 1 species
UCCUACGGGAGGCAGCAGUGGGGAAUAUUGCACAAUGGGGGAAACCCUGAUGCAGCCAUGCCGCGUGUGUGAAGAAGGCCUUCGGGUUGUAAAGCACUUUCAGUUGUGAGGAAAAGUUAGUAGUUAAUACCUGCUAGCCGUGACGUUAACAACAGAAGAAGCACCGGCUAACUCCGUGCCAGCAGCCACGGUAAUACGGAGGGUGCGAGCGUUAAUCGGAAUUACUGGGCGUAAAGCGCACGCAGGCGGUUUGUUAAGCUAGAUGUGAAAGCCCCGGGCUCAACCUGGGAUGGUCAUUUAGAACUGGCAGACUAGAGUCUUGGAGAGGGGAGUGGAAUUCCAGGUGUAGCGGUGAAAUGCGUAGAUAUCUGGAGGAACAUCAGUGGCGAAGGCGACUCCCUGGCCAAAGACUGACGCUCAUGUGCGAAAGUGUGGGUAGCGAACAGGAUUAGAUACCCUGGUAGUCCACACCGUAAACGCUGUCUACUAGCUGUGUGUGCCUUUAAGGCGUACGUAGCGAAGCUAACGCGCUAAGUAGACCGCCUGGGGAGUACGGCCGCAAGGUUAAAACUCAAAUGAAUUGACGG